UUUAAGGGAAAGCGAUAAAGGAACUAUUUGUUCACCGAAUAGUAAUUUUAUUGCUUUCCCUAUUAUAUACAUAUAUAGUUAGAUUUACUAUAGCUAAUGAAAUGAUGACGUAACGCAUGCAACGAAAUAUUACGGGGAGAAGUUGCUACAUUUGGGAAUUUUACUCUGAUGCUGCGUAUAAAAGGCGCGAGUGUCAAGGUUAGGUUAUUCUACCGAAGUCAGUCAGGAUCAACACUUGUAUACUUUCUUCCAAAGUCCCACCCUUCCCUCCCCUAUUUUCUUUCGUUGCGUGUUGUUACCGAUCACUUAAUAGAUUAGUUUUGUUCAAGAUGGCGGGAGAAUGCCCCCACCUUUUCUGUGAGAACUGUUAUUGUCAUUUAUGGAAAUUAAUAUUCAUUUUGGAUUAAUUAAUAAAUCGGCGUGUGCUCACGCACAUAGCCAUUAUUUUCCCAAAUG
rnacentral:lncRNA from 1 species